rnacentral:rRNA from 1 species
AGUGGCGGACGGGUGAGUAACGCGUGAGAAUCUGCCUUGGGGUCGGGGACAACCACUGGAAACGGUGGCUAAUACCGGAUAAGCCGAUUGGUGAAAGAUUUAUUGCCCGAAGAGGAGCUCGCGUCUGAUUAGCUAGUUGGUGAGGUAAGAGCUCACCAAGGCAGCGAUCAGUAGCUGGUCUGAGAGGACGAUCAGCCACACUGGGACUGAGACACGGCCCAGACUCCUACGGGAGGCAGCAGUGGGGAAUUUUCCGCAAUGGGCGAAAGCCUGACGGAGCAAGACCGCGUGAGGGAGGAAGGCUCUUGGGUUGUAAACCUCUUUUCUCAGGGAAGAAGCUCUGACGGUACCUGAGGAAUCAGCCUCGGCUAACUCCGUGCCAGCAGCCGCGGUAAUACGGAGGAGGCAAGCGUUAUCCGGAAUUAUUGGGCGUAAAGCGUCCACAGGUGGCGAUUCAAGUCUGCUGUCAAAGCACGGGGCUUAACUCCGUAAAGGCAGUGGAAACUGAAUAGCUAGAGUGCCGUAGGGGUAGAGGGAAUUCCCGGUGUAGCGGUGAAAUGCGUAGAGAUCGGGAAGAACAUCGGUGGCGAAAGCGCUCUACUGGACGGCAACUGACACUCAGGGACGAAAGCUAGGGGAGCGAAUGGGAUUAGAUACCCC